rnacentral:rRNA from 1 species
GACGAACGCUGGCGGCGUGCUUAACACAUGCAAGUCGAACGGAAAGGCCCCUUUGGGGGUACUCGAGUGGCGAACGGGUGAGUAACACGUGAGUAACCUGCCCUUGACUUCGGGAUAACUUCAGGAAACUGGGGCUAAUACCGGAUAGGAAUCCUUGCUGCAUGGUGGGGGUUGGAAAGCUUCGGCGGUUUUGGAUGGACUCGCGGCUUACCAGCUUGUUGGUGGGGUAGUGGCUUACCAAGGCUUUGACGGGUAGCCGGCCUGAGAGGGCGACCGGCCACAUUGGGACUGAGAUACGGCCCAGACUCCUACGGGAGGCAGCAGUGGGGAAUAUUGCACAAUGGGCGGAAGCCUGAUGCAGCAACGCCGCGUGCGGGAUGACGGCCUUCGGGUUGUAAACCGCUUUCAGCAGGGGCGAAGCUUGUGGUGACGGUACCUGCAGAAGAAGCACCGGCUAACUACGUG